GAAGGAAAACGUUUGGAGACGGCCGGCGCACCGCGUUGCUCGCCUAGUUUUUCUCUCCACAUGACUACGUGAGCAUUUGGAUCCACCCACCGCCUACCUCUUCAUCUUAUCUCUUCAGAACACACUACAGCCAUUCGUUCCCCUCAAGUCUCUCUCCUCCCAAUUCCAAUCUCGUCAGCCAUGGCACGACCAUCCCUCCGGCGAGCAACUCCUUCCAUGGUGCUCGUGCGGCUCCUACCUCUCCAUGGCUGUGACGCUCGUCGCCUUGUCCGCCUCCACCGUUAGCUGGACACGCGCCCUCUCCAUGGCCGUCGUAGCCAGGGUGUUUCGGUCGCCAUGGCCAAGCUGCACCCACCCACGGCGACGGCGGCGGCGGCGAGUUUUUGCUGGAACCGAGGGGCUUUGCUGGAACCGGCUGGUGGAUGUGCUACAAGGUCGGUGCCUCGCCGGGGAAGCUACAUCGAGCAGCAAGGAGUGUUGUAUCCAACGCAGUUCGAACGUCGGGAGCUGCAAUCGUGCACGCCGGAGCUGCAACCGGCUACUGGGGGAGCUGCAAGAGAGGGUGGCCAUUUUUUGCUGAACCAAUUUUUUGUUUUUGCUGGAACCGGUGUAUUUUUUUGCUGGAACCAAGAUAAUUUUUUGCUUCAUCGGAUGCAGAGCUCUCAAAUGCUCAUGUCGUUUUUGUUGUCACCUAAGUUUGUUUUUGCUAGAAGCAUUUUCUGAUUUUGCUUCAACCGAUCACCGAACUUCCAUCCCGGGGUGAAGUUUUUUGCUGGAAGAUUUUUGUUGCUUCCUGAUUUUUUGCUGCUUGGCACUCGAACCCGGCGAGCUGGAGACGCAGAGAUGAUGCAGCCAGCCACCCUGACUGCUAGCACAUGCAUCAUCAGAAGUUUGGAUCCAGCAAAUUAUUUUGCUACCGCCAUAAUUUUUUACUGGAAACAACUUCAAAUUUUGCUUCCACCAUGUUCUGUUUUAGCUGGAUCCAGCUUUUGUUUUUGCUUCCACCAUGGCGGCGGCCGGCGGCAACGACUGCGGCCGGCAGCGACGACGACGACCAGCAGGGAGGGCGGCUACAGGCGAGCGCAUCGGGGCGGUACUUUCUGGCUGGGCACAUCGCUCAUCCAUGGCAGCAUGCUGGAAGUUUUUUUUAAAGGAAGAAGACGCUUGGUGAAAGAAAAGGAAAGAAUCGUACGGCUAUGAGUUGUUCAAUCGGACGCUGCUAGGACGCUGCUGGUACGACCGGCCCAAAGUUGGGCCGGCGCACUGGCGCCUAGUACUCACCUUGCUCGAACGGUCAGCACAGAUUUUGGCGCCACGUUCCUUAUGUGUACCAGCGUCUCUAGUUAAUUUUAGUUUUUAAUUAUGUAUAUUUGCAGUCUUAUAACAGAUAUAAUUUACAACACCUACAUGGCAACAUA